CGCUAUCACGUGACCAAACUUUGGAGUGAGCUGUCAGAUCCAAUUGCUCACAGGUGGUGAUAAUGAAGGGCAAGCAAGAAGUGAAAUUUAAAUUUGUGGAUUAUACACUUGCUAUACAGCUGCAUUUAGAAGCGAUACACGAUUGUAACAAAGAAAUUCAGUCAGAGACUGCAAGGAAAACAAAUGUUGUGGCGGUACAUGUAAAUAACAAUGAAAUCGAAGACCAUGCAUAAAGAAGUGUAUAAAGUAUGAGUCCGUAUGACAAAGAUCAAGAUGAAGAAAACGGGAUGGGACGAAGGGACGGAGAAAGAGCGGGAAUACAACAAAAGGACUAUAAUAAAGCAAGUGAGCCCUGAUUAAGAACUUUUAAUUGAUAAUUUUUCAUAAUUUACCUCUAUUGUCUAUUUUAAAAUUUAUUUUGUAAAUUAUGAUUGAAUUGAUGUAUAUAAAAUAUUAUCACAGUGAA